CCUACGGGUGGCAGCAGUGAGGAAUAUUGGUCAAUGGGAGAGAUCCUGAACCAGCCAAGCCGCGUGAGGGAUGACGGCCCUAUGGGUUGUAAACCUCUUUUGUCGGGGAACAAAACCCGUCACGUGUGGCGGUUUGCGUGUACCCGAAGAAAAAGCAUCGGCUAACUCCGUGCCAGCAGCCGCGGUAAUACGGAGGAUGCGAGCGUUAUCCGGAUUUAUUGGGUUUAAGGGGUGCGUAGGCGGUUCGUUAAGUCAGCGGUAAAAUUCCGGGGCUAAACCCCGUCUUGCCGUUGAAACUGGCAGACUUGAGUUGGCGAGAGGUAGGCGGAAUGCGGGGUGUAGCGGUGAAAUGCAUAGAUAUCGCGAAGAACUCCGAUUGCGAAGGCAGCUUACCGGCG
rnacentral:rRNA from 1 species